AAGAGCGUAAAAGUUUGUCUCAGCUCCAGCACCCCGAGCAUCAACACGCCCUCAGGUAAAGGUGGGAGUAAAUGGCCAAGCUGUAUUGACAGAGACAGGGACUGGGAAACGGAAAUAGCACCGCCUUCCAGCCAAACUUGUGAGGACUGAUUGCAGUAGAACUGGUGUUCCAGAUGUUGCACUAGAGGCGCUGCAAGUGUGAGCAGGUGGCAGUGGACCUAAAUUACAGAUUGUAGCAGAUGUUCUCAACAUUUCUAUUGAAAUUUCCUUAUCUUCACUUGUAAGAGGAGUCCCAAGGCCUUUGGUAGCUACCAUGAUCUGAUAUAAGCAGUUGUUCAUCAGAGAAUUUCAGCAAGAGAGUUGGCUAGAUCAGCAAGUCCAUCACCACUAUGGAAAAACAACUUGAAGCUCAUCUCUACUGACAGAAUAAGCAAAUCUCAAGGUCGCAGACUUGUAGAACUGAUGCACACUGAAAUCAAAUGAAAGGCCCAGCUGCGAGGAAAAGAUCCUUAUUCUACAGGAGGUCCACAUGUGUUCUGGUGUUAUAUCAGUCUAAAGUUGGAAAAGGACCCUUCUGCUUGAAAUUUAUGAAAAG